GACGAACGCUGGCGGCGUGCUUAACACAUGCAAGUCGAACGGACAGGCCCUGCUUGUGUGGGGUGCUCGAGUGGCGAACGGGUGAGUAACACGCGAGUAACCUGCACUAGACCUUGGGAUAAUUUCCGGAAACUGGGGACAAUACCGGACAGGAGCGCCUACCGCAUGGAGGGGGUUGGAACGUUUGGGUGGUUGGGGAUGGACUCGAGGCUUAUCAGCUUGUUGGAGGGGUAGUGGCUUACCAAGGCUUUGACGGGUAGCUGGCCUGAGAGGGUGACCGGCCACAUUGGGACUGAGAUACGGCCCAGACUCCUACGGGAGGCAGCAGUGGGGAAUAUUGCACAAUGGGCGGCAGCCUGAUGCAGCAACGCCGCGUGCGGGAUGACGGCCUUCGGGUUGUAAACCGCUUUCGCCUGUGACGAAGCGUGAGUGACGGUAAUGGGUAAAGAAGCACCGGCUAACUACGUG
rnacentral:rRNA from 1 species